UACGAAGGGGGCUAGCGUUGCUCGGAAUCACUGGGCGUAAAGGGUGCGUAGGCGGGUCUUUAAGUCAGGGGUGAAAUCCUGGAGCGCAACUCCAGAACUGCCUUUGAUACUGAGGAUCUUGAGUUCGGGAGAGGUGAGUGGAACUGCGAGUGUAGAGGUGAAAUUCGUAGAUAUUCGGAAGAACACCAGUGGCGAAGGCGACUCACUGGACACGUAUUGACGCUGAGGUGCGAAAGCGUGGGGAGCAAACAGG
rnacentral:rRNA from 1 species